rnacentral:rRNA from 1 species
UACGUAGGAGACGAGCGUUGUCCGGAGUUACUGGGCGUAAAGGGUGCGUAGGCGGGUCUUUAAGUCAGGGGUGAAAUCCUGGAGCUCAACUCCAGAACUGCCUUUGGUACUGAGGAUCUUGAGUUCGGGAGAGGUGAGUGGAACUGCGAGUGUAGAGGUGAAAUUCGUAGAUAUUCGCAAGAACACCAGUGGCGAAGGCGGCUCACUGGCCCGAUACUGACGCUGAGGCACGAAAGCGUGGGGAGCAAACAGG